UUCUAUUCCAGUAACAUUGCG
rnacentral:piRNA from 1 species